rnacentral:rRNA from 1 species
GAUGAACGCUAGCGGCAGGCUUAACACAUGCAAGUCGAGGGGCAGCACGGGUAGCAAUACCUGGUGGCGACCGGCGCAAGGGUGCGUAACGCGUGAGCAACAUGCCCUAUACAGGGGGAUAAUCCAGGGAAACUUGGUCUAAUAUCCCAUAGUAUUUAGAGGAGGCAUCUUCUAUAAAUUAAAGCUUCGGUGGUAUAGGAUUGGCUCGCGUGACAUUAGCUAGAUGGUGAGGUAACGGCUCACCAUGGCAAUGAUGUCUAGGGGUUCUGAGAGGAAGGCCCCCCACACUGGGACUGAGACACGGCCCAGACUCCUACGGGAGGCAGCAGUGAGGAAUAUUGGACAAUGGAUGGAAAUCUGAUCCAGCCAUGCCGCGUGCAGGAAGACAGCCCUAUGGGUUGUAAACUGCUUUUAUAUGGGGAGCAAUAAGGUCUACGUGUAGACUGAUGAGAGUACCAUAUGAAUAAG